UGUCAGCAGCAGCAGAAGACAUUGAAAGUGGCAGCGGAGCAGUCCUGAACAGAGACAACGGUGGCUAAAAGCCAAAAGAUAGCCAGUAGCAGUGAGAUAACGUGAAGCCAGCCGAGAGACGCAGAGAUGUUCCUGCAGGAGGGAGAGCUCGCAACAAAACAGAGGAAAACUCAACAGGGCUGUUUUGGGGUAAGACUGUAUCACUUUCCCAAAACCCAGAGACCUCCUGAAGAGGAGGGGUGGACUUCCAAACCCAAAAUGCAGCAGCAGUUAUAGAGAGAGAGAGAGAGAGAGAGAGAGAGAGAAAGGAGCUGAAAAACUCAGAGUCGUCCUGAGAGCUGAACCAGGACGGAAUGCGGAGGAGGUGGCCUUGCCCUCUGCUGCUGCUGCUGCUACCAUGCUGGCAAGCUGAGACAGAGCAGAGGAGCUCUGGUAAGACUGAAAUGAAAGCUGCCUUAAAUGCUCUAACCCAAGAGAAGUGAAGGUCUCCAAGGAAAAUCCCACGAAGGCUCGGGCUCGGGGUUGGAAUUUCCGCAAAGUAAGAACAAAAAUCCUGACUGCCAUACUUAAAUCUGCUGCCUUAGAAAAAUGAAAGACACUAACCAGUGCCACAAAAAACUGAAAUGAAGGAACUGUGGCCUGAGGACUUUUCUCUUUUCUUCUUAGACUUUUAUUGAAGAAAAGGAGGAAUUUAAUUUAAUCUCUCAUUGACUGAAGGUGUCUUGCAGCUAUGACUCAUUCAAACAUAUUUUGAAAACAUGCUCAUUUUGAAUCACCAAUCAGUCAAGCCAAUAUUAAUUGAACACUGAAGGCUUUUGGCACCCUGACUACAUGUGAGCCAGAAUCUCCUCUGGGAAGUCCUUCUCCAAGGAACCACACUCACAAGAUUUCCAUGCUAUCAUUUCAUAAAAUAUGAUACUUCACUGUCUACUGGCAUGGGAAAUCUGUUCCAUGGAUAGAAGUCUCUCCAAAGUGCAACAAAAAACUUCAAACAAACCAACCAACCUAAACUAAAGACCUAUACGUAAAAUAUUCCAAGGUCUCCUAUAACCACUAUGAUAUCUGAUAAAUGUUAUGAAUGGCUAUAUAUGAACAUUUGGCACGACGAGCCCCUAUCUCGGAGAACAGCACUUUACACAGAUCAAGGCAGCAAGACAAUUCCCUUCAUUUUGUGACAAACAUGCUAUUUGGACUUCAUACACUCCCCUAAAGAAAAUAAGAAACUUUACUACCUUACCUGCCACCCCAAUGAUUCUAUACUAUACAUAUAUCCUACUAACAGAAUUUGUCCUCAUGGAUAAGAGUGUGGGUUAAACAAGCCCCUGUCCUUCCACGUACACUGCCAGCAAAUUGCAGCAGAAGUUAGAAUGGUAACAUAGUUAAAUAUUACUAGAAAUUUGUUUACUGGUCAAAUUAAAAACAUUAAAAAAAAACCAAACUGAAAAAAAACCCAAAACAAACACCGUCAUCAUAGCUACCUUUUCUUUGUCUAAAUCCCAGACUGAAAUCUGUGCUGCUUCCUUAUUCUAUCUGAAAACAUUUGAACUAAAUGGUAUAAACAAUCCCGAGAUGACUGGAAUGUAAAAUCAUCCUCUUCUUGUACCUUGACUAUCAUGGAACUUAAAAUCACCCUUUUCUUGUAUCCUAUCAGGUCCAAAAUCCAGUGGAUCCUGAAGAGGUAAUCUAGCUGAAAUACCACAUUUUUAUGUAUUUACUAUUAGAAUUCCCCAUCUGCAGCUCUCUUUGAACCCAAUCUGCGUGCUGCAGAGGUAGAAUGGUGAGGACUACCUGAAUGUAGCUGGGGCAUGGAACUAGAUGCUGCAAACUAUUUUUCUGGUCUAUGUAACUUCAGUUUAAUAGAUAAAAGAAGCUGCUUCUAAAAGUGGUCUCAGUCACACUACAAUUCAUACUCAUGUUGUCUAAAACUGAGUAAUGCUUGAUUCAUAAUCUUUCAUAAAUACUUGUUUGACAGACCAGUUGUAUACUAAGAUCACAUUUUCCAUAAAGGAUGAAAUUGCAGCUACGCAAAAAUGCUGACCACGUGGGAAAGGAGGGCCUUCAAGGGUUAGCUGCUCCAUAGUAAUCACAUAUACCUCUAAGAAGUCUUAUUACAAAUUAGCUAGACUCAGUUUUUAUUUCAUACAGGCAUUCAUGCUAGUACGGAUUUAAACUGAUCAUUUAGCCACAGCUGAACUCACAUUACAGAAUUGUGUCAAACAAAAAAUGUAACUUGACAGAGCUUUGACAAUGCUUUGAAUUGUAUUUAGCAGUUUACAUUAUGGAAUAGCAUCAAUGAAGAACUUGGCUUUCACCUACUGACAUUUUCUUCAACAUAAAACCAAAAAAAAAUGUCCGUGAUGUUAAAAACUGACACCGAUGACACUGGGGACUUCCAGAAACAUGGCAAGACAGACAAGAUAAAUUUGAGGCCUGGAGGCACUAUUACUUCAUGAAAAUGAUGCUCUGUCUCUCUGCAACUGAAAACAACACAAAGAGGAAUAAAAGUAGAAGCAGAAAAAGUGAAGAAAGUAUGUCUGUCACCCCUAAAGCACAUCUACAACCAGCCUAUGAUACACAAGUUGGUAAAGCACGUAAGUGUCAGUUGCUUUACUUUUAGAUCUCGUAUCAAUGAAAAUAGACUGCAGACAGAAAAGCAUUAUAAGUGGGAAGAUAUGAGAGAAGGCCUAGUGGAAUGGCUAACAUGUUACAAAAAGAACCCCAAAACAAACAAAACAGACAAAACAGAACUGAUCCCAAACCACCCAAGGAGCAGCUGCUCUUAGGACUUUGAUUCAUAGAGGGCAUUUAUUACACCUGAGAGAGCAGUUGAUAAUUUACUUGUCUUUCUUUUAUUCCCAGAAUUUCUGCAAUGACACCUGAAAUUUCUUCAGGCCAUCUGCCCUCUCUUUGCCUGGUGUAGUCCUACAGAACAGCCAUAGUGGGUCAACAAAUUUAACUUGUCCUUGGCAUGGACGUAUUACUAUGUUGGGAAAAUGUGCUAUUGGAAGACACAUUCAGAGCAUUACAAGGUACCACAGGUCAGUCUGCCCUAUCAUGCUUCCAAUAUGUGCAAGAGCACAGUGUAAUGGACACAAACCCCUUCAUUAAAUGACAGAAUCUUUUAAAGAGCACAUAGGAUGUCUAUGUCUCAUGCUUGUUAGGUCUCAAAACACUUGUAUUAUAGGCAUAUGCUUAACACUGAAAUGAUUUGUUUUUUAAAGAAAAAUGAUGUUUUGCUCCUGCUAAGAAGCAUAUUCCCAACGGAUAGAAAAUAUUAAAGUGACACCUCACCCAUCUUAAACAUUGUACCUUGCUAGCCUGCUGGAAGAGCCCUUGCUCUGUCCUGGAUCUGUUUUUUAAAACACUCCUUGAGAGUUAAGAACUUUAUCCUGUGACAUACAAAAUCAAAACAAGGCUCAAGCACUUAAUUUUAGGAGAUCUAUGGCUAAAGCAUUCAUCCCAGAUGGAUGUGAUUCCUUCCUAUGCUAAAGCAAGGUCCAAACCUUCCAAGAAAUAGUCCUGAGCUCAGACCACAACUGACCUUGAAAAAGGGCAUUCCUAACCUCUCUUCAGGAAUCUAAAAAUCACACACAUAUACAUACAUGGGGACAAAAUUGACAGCUUUAGCAGCAGGAAACACUUUCACCUUUAUCAGCAGAAUAAAGUGGAGAAAGAAAGGGAAUUGUAGAGAUCCCAAAAGACUGCUACCUACUCUUUUCACUUAUGGUGUGUAAUCUUCAAAAUUAGAGUGAAGAGCACACUCUUUGACCUGAAAAGCUUAAAGCAUACUUAUAAAGAUGACACCACUUGGCUUUGUGGCCCCUUAUCUCUAACAGCUCGAGACCCCCACUAAUUUAUAUAAAUAAAUGCAUUCCAACACAUGAUGACAAAAAAUAAUCACUCAGCAUUCAUUAAGGAAACUUUCAAAUUAUUACAACAGAUGAGAAUAAAAAUUCCCAACAAGACUCAAGUGCAAAGUUCUAACCUUUUGUUUAAUUAAGUAUAAAUAUGUAUAAUUAUGAGAACGCUAUCAAACAUGCCAAGAAAACCUCUAUUUUUCUGCAAUGAAAGAUUACAAAACUAGAUGAUUCACAGUUAUAUUUCUUACUUUCAAAUAUUAUGAAGCAAAAAAGGAUAGAAAGAGGUGUCUGUCUGAAAAUCUACUGCUGGAUAUUGCAUCCACUUUUAAAUUAUCUGGCUCCUGAAAUAACAUUCGAUAUUAAAAAAAAAAUCAUUUUGUUCUACUGUUGUCUUGAUAAAGGGCAAUUCCCAUAUUUCUUUUUAAACUAACGUAACUAACACGCUUUCCCAUUUCAUAAGCUGAAAAAUGCUAUUGCCUGUUCAGAGACAGACAGGCAGAAUUCAAUAGAAUCUGGCCAUAGUAAUUUAGAUGCAAUUCCUGUCUUCCUUUUCUCACCUGAACAACUGUACUGUACCUAAUAAAAUAGGUCUUAUAUUUGAAUGCACAUGAUGAAUUAGAAUCCUAGUUCUCAUCAUCUAUUCAAUCUCUUCACUCUAAAGAAACUUCAUUGCAAUUUUAGCUGCAUUAUCAGGCAGUUUAACUACAAAUUUGCCAGUUUGAAUUUUCCGUGUCUUCAAAUAAUAUCAUUCCCUCAAUCGGAAAGCAUUUCAAACAUUGUAUGCCAAGUUCCCUACCCUAAAGACAUGAAGCAUCCUUCUGAGUCUGAAGUGUAAGGAACUUCAGCCCCUUUUCUUUUUAGGUUCUUAAAAAUCUUGGUCAUAUUUGCAUCUUUCCUUGGGAUAUUUUCAAGGGUUUUUUUCUCCUCAUUUUUGUAAAAAGAAAGUAGAAACAGAGGUGUGUUCUGAGGAAUACUGCCCAGAGGCUUAACAAAAAAUGUGUCAUUAGAAUCACAGGUCAUUGGGACAAAAGGAAACACCAAGAUGGUACUCAUAGGAUGAGUAUUUUGUAGGCUGAGACUCUUGCUUUUGCUUAGAGCAGCUGAGAAAGUCUCGCUACACAGAAAAUUACAAACAGAUUUGUAUGAGUUUCGAGUUUUGUUGUGAAAAGAGACUUUACGACGGAGAAAUGUGCAGUGAACCAUAGAUUCUUUUUAUUUCUAUUUUUUCCUGACAAGUCUGCACAGCAUUCUAUAAGUAAUCUUUUCUUAGUCUUAGGCUCCCUUAUGUUACAAGUAUACAGAAUUAGGAAGAAUAAUGUUUCUAGCCAUUUCCUCAGACAAAUGAAAGCAAAAAGAAAUCCUUAAAUGCAAUGUUCUUCAACAUUGGAAAGACCACACAAAAAUAGCUAUCUGUCCUUUAGACUAUGGAAAGAUUGAAAGACCUUUUAUGUAAUACAUUCAAAACUCUCAAGAAAGGUAUCUUUCACUGUAUGAGAAAGUCACUACAGCUCCUUUUCUUUUUCUUUUGAAGUUAUUAUUAAACAAAUAUGACACAGAUCUUCCCUAUGAUCAAGGAACUGUUACACCAAUAGGCCUAUUAACCUUGCUCUAAAAAAAUAAUAUUGUGGGAAAAAAAAAUGUUUUCUCAAUUUUUACCAGAAAAGUCAUAUUAAUAGGUAUGGUUGUUGUGGCAAUAGUAAGGAUAACUUUGGCAGGUUCCAAGUUGAGCAAAUUUAUUGACUUUGCUAAGAUGAGAAUGAAUAAAACUCUGUAGAAUCUGAUCCUAUCUCUUCCCAGGAAUACCAUUAGUACAGCUUUGAUAAACACAGACAACCUUGAUUGGUACAUGAACUCACUUUCUGCAAGGAACUAGCAUAGUUAUAGCUUCAAAACAUAAUAAAAGAACUAACUCACAAGUGGAAAAGUCAAGCUAAAAUUUAAACUAAUGACUUUAGAAAGUCUCAAUGACUGACGUAUGUUUGCUAUUCUUCUUUGUGGGCCCUUAGUUACUCAUUUUUACUAAAAAGUAAUUAACUAAGAACAAUAGAAUGGUUUUUAGCCCACUAAGUUAUUUUCAGGGGAAUUUAAAUACAUUAGUUAUAAUUAGAUCUAAUGAAAUCUCUAAGAGCGCUGGGUUUAAUUGCAGAAAUUAUUCUAUUGCCUGUGACUCCUAUUUACUACAGUAUCACAAUGCACUCAAAGCAUCCUUUAUAUGCAAGCAAUCAAUUUAAAAUCAAGAUCUAAAAGAAAGUGCAAUGUUUACUUUCUCUUACCAUCCAUUGCUCUCAUAUAGUAUUAAAACACGUGUAACAAAAAAAAUAAAACAAAAUAAAAAAGACAAGAAUGAUAGUAAUAUUAAUUAUUGGAGAAAAUAAAAGAGGAUAAUAGGUUCGAGAAAGUAUGAUUUAAAUUGGACUCCCACAGAGACUGGAAAAUUAAGUCAACAGAUCUUUUUGUAACACUUCUAAGGGGUUUAGUACUAACAUUAUAUACAAGAAAUGUGGAAAUAAAUCAAAGGCUUUGCUUGCAAUAAGAAAAAAAAAUCAGAAGACAGACAGCAUUUUAUACCAAGUGAACAUCACCCAAAAGCUGAAAGAACAAGGCAAGGAAAUGAUGGUCAAGUGUUACCCCAGAGUUUAGCAUUCACUGGUGAACCACAAGAACAGGUGAUUCAGAAUAGAUGUUUACCUUGAACACUAUGAAGGACCUUUUUUUCACUGACUAGAGGAAAAGCCCAGACAGACUAGGCUUAAAAAGAUUGAGAGGGACAAUAAAUUAAAUAAGGGAUUAUUCUUCUGUAGCUUCAAGACUAAGAAAUAUGUUAGUUAUAGGAGUGGAGUUAGAAGUCAGUAGAACCAAGAAAUUUAAUUCUGAGUUUUUUGACAUACUGUGAAAGCAAUUUCUGUACCACAAUUUUGUAGGUUCUCUGUAGAAUCACCACUGUCUUCUUACUAGAGUCUGUCUUGUAAGGAUUAUUUUAGAAUUUACUCAGCAGCCAACACUUGCUUAAGAAAGGUAGCAGGAGGAAAUUUGUUUUACAUUUUUAGUCAAUGGUUCCCUCUGCUUAAGUGAUAGCUUGUUCAAAAUCCCCACAGGUCUUUUUUAAUGCAGUAUUUUAAAAGAGUAUAUAAAGUCUAAUCCAUAAUUAUCAAUCCACUCCAGGAUACCAGUCAGUACUAAAAAAAGGCUUAAUUAGAUUAUCCUAAGAGUAAUAGUGAUUUUGAUAUAAAUAUGGCAGGCAAAAAAAAAAAAAAGAAGAAAAAACAAAAGAGAAAAGGAGAAA